AGUGAACGCUGGCGGUAGGCCUAACACAUGCAAGUCGAACGGCAGCACAGGAGAGCUUGCUCUCUGGGUGGCGAGUGGCGGACGGGUGAGGAAUACAUCGGAAUCUACUCUGUCGUGGGGGAUAACGUAGGGAAACUUACGCUAAUACCGCAUACGACCUACGGGGGAAAGCAGGGGACAUUCGGGCCUUGCGCGAUUGACUGAGCCGAUGUCGGAUAAGCUAGUUGGCGGGGUAAAGGCCCACCAAGGCGACGAUCAGUAGCUGGUCUGAGAGGAUGAUCAGCCACACUGGAACUGAGACACGGUCCAGACUCCUACGGGAGGCAGCAGUGGGGAAUAUUGGACAAUGGGCGCAAGCCUGAUCCAGCCAUACCGCGUGGGUGAAGAAGGCCUUCGGGUUGUAAAGCCCUUUUGUUGGGAAAGAAAUCAAGCUGGCUAAUACCCGGUUGGGAUGACGGUACCCAAAGAAUAAGCACCGGCUAACUUCGUGCCAGCAGCCGCCGUAA
rnacentral:rRNA from 1 species